GAUUGACCUCGGAUCAGGUAGGGAUACCCGCUGAACUUAAGCAUAUCAAUAAGCGGAGGAAAAGAAACCAACAGGGAUUGCCUCAGUAACGGCGAGUGAAGCGGCAACAGCUCAAAUUUGAAAUCUGACCCCCCCGGGGCCCGAGUUGUAAUUUGUAGAGGGUGCUUCGGGUUUGGCCUAGGUCUAAGUCCUUUGGAACAGGGCGUCAUAGAGGGUGAGAAUCCCGUAUGUGACCGGCGAUCCUGCCCAUGUGAAGCCCCUUCGACGAGUCGAGUUGUUUGGGAAUGCAGCUCAAAAUGGGUGGUAAAUUUCAUCUAAAGCUAAAUACCGGCCAGAGACCGAUAGCGAACAAGUAGAGUGAUCGAAAGAUGAAAAGCACUUUGAAAAGAGAGUUAAAAAGUACGUGAAAUUGUUGAAAGGGAAGCGCUUGCAAUCAGACCUGCCCGUGGGUGAUCUGUCGGGGCUCGUUCCCGGGAACCCUCACCCAUGAUCAGGCCAGCAUCGGUUUGGGCGGUGAGACAAAAGCCCCCGGAAUGUAGCUUCUUUCGGGGAGUCUUAUAGCCUGGGGUGUCAUGUUGCCAGCCUGGACCGAGGACCGCGCUUCGGCUAGGAUGCUGGCGUAAUGAUUCUAAGCGACCCGUCUUGAAACACGGACCAAGGAGUCUAACAUCUAUGCGAGUGUUUGGGUGUUAAACCCGGGCGCGGAAUGAAAGUGAACGGAGGUGGGAGCCCGUCAAACGGCGCACCAUCGACCGAUCCAGAAGUUUUCGGAUGGAUUUGAGUACGAGCAUAGCUGUUGGGACCCGAAAGAUGGUGAACUUUGCUUGUAUAGGGUGAAGCCAGAGGAAACUCUGGUGGAGGCUCGCAGCGGUUCUGACGUGCAAAUCGAUCGUCGAAUAUGAGCAAAGGGGCGAAAGACUAAUCGAACC
rnacentral:rRNA from 1 species